rnacentral:rRNA from 1 species
GACGAACGCUGGCGGUGUGCUUAACACAUGCAAGUCGAACGCUGAAGCCCCAGCUUGCUGGUGUGGAUGAGUGGCGAACGGGUGAGUAAUACGUGAGUAACCUGCCCUUGACUCUGGGAUAAGCCCGGGAAACUGGGUCUAAUACUGGAUACUACACGUCACCGCAUGGUGGUGUGUGGAAAGGGUUUACUGGUCUUGGAUGGGCUCACGGCCUAUCAUCUGGUUGGUGAGGUAAUGGCUCACCAAGGCGACGACGAGUAGCCGGCCUGCCAGGGUGACCGGCAACACUGGGACUGAGACACGGCCCAGACUCCUACGGGAGGCAGCAGUGGGGAAUAUUGCACAAUGGGCGAAAGCCUGAUGCAGCGACGCCGCGGGGGGGAUGACGGACUUCGGGUUGUAAACCUCUGUCAGCAGGGAAGAAGCCACAAGUGACGGUACCUGCAGAAGAAGCGCCGGCUAACUACGUG